rnacentral:lncRNA from 12 species
AUGGGAAUAAUGGGACUGGGAAUAAUAGGAUUGGGGAUAAUGGGACUAAUGGGACUGGGAAUGAUGGGAUUGGGACUGGGAGUAAUGGGAUUGGGGAUAAUGGGAUAAAUGGGAAUAAUGGCAAUAAUGGGAAUUGUGGGAUUGGGGAUAAUGGGAUGGGGGAUGAUGGGAAUAGUGGGAUUGGGGAUGGGAGCUGCACUUCCUGCAGAGAGAACAGAUCCUGAUCCUGCAGCCCCCAGAGCAGCCUGGUACUGGGAAUAGUGGGAAUUGUGGGGUGGGGAUACUGGGAAUUGUGGGGAUUGUGGGAAUUAUGGGAUGGGGGAUGAUGGGAAUAACGGAGAAAAUGGGAUAAAUGGGAGUAGUGGGAUUGGGGAUGAUGGGACUGAAAUGGGAAUGGUGAGGAUGGGAAUGGUGAGAAUGGGAAUAAUAGGAUUGGGAAUAUUGGGAAUGAGAAUAAUGGGACUGGGACUAAUGGGACUGGGAAUGAUGGGAUUUGGAAUGGGAAUAAUGGGAUUGGGAAUUAUGGGAAUAAUGAGAUUGGGAAUGGGAAUAAUGGGAACAAUGGGAAUUGUGGGAUGGGGGAUGAUGGGAGUAAUGGGACUGGGGACGGGAGCUGCACUUCCUGCAGAGAGAACAGAUCCUGAUCCUGCAGCCCCCAGAGCAGCCUGGUACUGGGAAUAGUGGGAAUGGUGGGGUGGGGAUACUGGGAAUAGUGGGGGAAAUGGGAAUGGUGGGGUGGGGGAUAAUGGGAAUAGUGGGGAUUGUGGGAUUGGGGUUAAUGGGAAUAGUGGGAUCGGGGAUAAUGGGAAUAGUGGGAUUGGGGACGGGAGCUGCACUUCCUGCAGAGGGAGCAAAUCCUGAUCCUGCAGCCCCCAGAGCAGCCUGGCCUGCCCUGGCAGUGGCGCUCCCGGGACGGCUCCGUCUCGCUGCCCCCCUUCACCAAUUCCCAUAUUCCCAUUCCCAUUCCCGUAUUCCCAUUCCCAUUCCCACAUUCCCAUUCCCACAUUCCCAUUCCCAUAGUCCCAUAUUCCCAUUCCCAUUCCAGGCCUCCCCUGGCAUUGGCGCUCCCGGGACGGCUCCGUCUCCCUGCCCCCAUAUUCCCAUUCCCCAAUUCCCAUUCCCGUUCUCAUUCCCGUUCCCCAAUUCCCAUUCCCCAAUUCCCAUUCCCAUUCCCAUUCCUAUUCCUGUUCCAGGCCUGCCCUGGCAGUGGCGCUCCCGGGACGGCUCCGUCUCGCUGCCCCCCUUCACCAAUUCCCAUAUUCCCAUUCCCAUUCCCGUAUUCCCAUUCCCAUUCCCACAUUCCCAUUCCCACAUUCCCAUGGAAUUCCCAGGGGGGGGGGGGGGGGGGGGGUUCCCGUUCCAGGCCUGCCCUGGCAGUGGCGCUCCCGGGACGGCUCCGUGUGCCUCCCCCCAUUCCCCAGUUCCCAUUCCCAUUCUCCAAUUCCCACUCCCAUUCCCACAUUCCCCAUUCCCAUUCCCAUUCCCGUUCUCAUUCCCGUUCCCCAAUUCCCACAUUCCCAUUCCCCAAUUCCCAUUCCCACAUUCCCAUUCCCCAGUUCCCAUUCCCCCAUUCCCACAUUCCCAUUCCCGUUCCAGGCCUGCCCUGGCAGUGGCGCUCCCGGGACGGCUCCGUCUCGCUGCCCCCCUUCACCAAUUCCCAUAUUCCCAUUCCCAUUCCCGUAUUCCCAUUCCCAUUCCCACAUUCCCAUUCCCACAUUCCCAUGGAAUUCCCACAUUCCCAUUCCCACAUUCCCAUUCCCGGUCUCAUUCCCAUUCCCCAAUUCCCACAUUCCCACUCCCCAGUUCCCAUUCCCAUUCCCGUUCUCAUUCCCAUUCCCAUUUCCAUUCCCAUUCCCCAGUUCCCAUUCCCACAUUCCCACAUUCCCGUUCCAGGCCUGCCCUGGCAGUGGCGUUCCCGGGACGGCUCCGUCUCGCUGCCCCCCUUCCCCAAUUCCCAUAUUCCCAUGGGGGGGGGGGGGGGGGGGGGGGGGGGGGGGGGGGGGGGGGGGGGGGGGGGGGGG